GGAUGGACAUCUAGGACGAGGGAUGAGGUUGAAUUAAAAAUAGAAGUUGGAGGACUAAAUUGGCUUAAUUGAAAGUGAGGGACGAAUUUGAGCCUCUAAUAAAAGUUGUUGAGGGUUGAAAUUGCCUAUUUUGGCAAAAAAAAUUUAGGUAACAACUGUCUGAACCACUGUACAUUCAUUGAAUUGGGCCCACGCUUUGCUCAAUGUUGUCCAUGCAAAUUUUUUUAUUUUUUUUAUUUUUUAUUUUAUUAUUUUGCAAAAAUAUAUGGUCUAAAAAAAUUGCAAAUCUAGACCUUUACUACCGUUUGAAAUGGUAUAAGGUGUACUGUAGCAAGCUACCACCAGUUGAACCAACGGUAACUUCCCAC
rnacentral:lncRNA from 1 species